GAGCCAUUAGCAGUCAAAGGUGUCCGGCGGCAGCAGCCGCCGGGUGAAACGGGAACGAAGUAACGGCCAUCACGGCCCCAAGCUUCGGCUGCCCCCGCAACGGUAAGCCAGUGCGGAUGUUCCACGGCCCUCCUCCCCGGAGCGCCAGCCACUGAGCCAGCCCGUCGCCCCCUCACCGGGGUCGGCGACUGGCUUGGGAAGGCGGAACAUCAAGACUGGCGAGCCCGGAGACCGGCCUUUGAUUUUUGCGUGCC
rnacentral:ncRNA from 2 species